CCUACGGGUGGCAGCAGUAGGGAAUAUUGCUCAAUGGGGGAAACCCUGAAGCAGCAACGCCGCGUGCAGGAUGAAGGUUUUCGGAUUGUAAACUCCUUUUGUUAGAGAAGAUAAUGACGGUAUCUAACGAAUAAGCACCGGCUAACUACGUGCCAGCAGCCGCGGUAAUACGGAGGGUGCAAGCGUUACUCGGAAUCACUGGGUGUAAAGAGCGCGUAGGCGGGAUAGCAAGACAGAUGUGAAAUCCUAUGGCUUAACCAUAGAACUGUAUUUGAAACUGUUAUGCUAGAGUAUGUGAGAGGUAAGUGGAAUUUUUGGUGUAGGGGUAAAAUCCGUAGAGAUUAAGAGGAAUACUCAUUGCGAAGGC
rnacentral:rRNA from 1 species